rnacentral:rRNA from 1 species
UUGAACGCAUAUUGCGCAUCGGACGAUUCAACCCGACCGAUGCACACAUCCUUGAGU